UCUGGGUGCGAGUGUGUUUGUUGCUUGCACUGUGUUUUUGUCUAAUCGUUGAGCAGGAGGAGCGCCGGUGUAGAAGUUAAUCAGGUGUCCGGUCACCAGUACAGUACUCUGGGUUUUGCUCAGUGAGCGCUGUAUUUCUGCAUGGUAAUCGGUUGCAUCACGUUGAGCAGGAAUGCAGCGGGGCGUGUGCUGGGGUCGAGGGUAUUUCUCGCUCAGAAGUUCGGAGACCUCGCGAUAUUACAGGGUGCAUGUGUCAAUGUGUGGGUCAUGCUAUUUCUAUUGGCAUAGCAUUGAGCAGACACGCAGUUUGUGAGCUGCGCACAUUAUAUUCAGUGAUACCUUGCUAGUGGUUUGGUCAUGGAGUGCAUGUGUUAUAUGUGUAGUGCCUCACAUACACAAUGCUGCCUUGUAACAGCGACCCCGGAGUUCAGUGGUUGAUUGUGUCGAUUUUAAUUAAGCUUAAGUUAUCAUCAGCUUUAUUGUAGUUUGUAGAAAAGUCCACCGUCCGUCUGUUUACUGCAUGAACUUGUUAUUUUGUUUUUCAAUUUAGAAGUGAUCAGGAGUCGAGGACUGUGGUACUAAGUUGCGUUGUAGCUAAUUAUUAAAAUACUGUGUUUUCACUUUUCUUCUUGGUGAAGUAUCUCGAGUGAUUGGACCCCCGAGUACUGGACGCUAUGUUACCCGGUAAUCCUCACUCCAGAACACAUGCCUAUGGAUGGGAAAGUGAAAGAGCUGUGGAGCUGGCAAGAAAACAAGUGGCAGACCUUACUGGAGCAGAUCCCAGGGAAUUCAUUUUCACCAGCGGAGUCCAACAACAUCUCCAUCAAAAAACUGGAGGAGUCCUUUUGACCAGACACAAGCCUGGUGUCCAUUAUGACUGUCAACAAUGAGAUUGGAGUGAUACAGCCCAUUAAAGAAAUAGUUAUGCAAAAGGUGGUUUGUAUACAUAUAUGUGUGUGUAUAUUGGUUAUACAUGUCCAUCCAAAUGAAAACAAGCUCAUUUUAUGUAUGUAUAUUUUUUAAACAAACGGGUCAUCUUUGCCAGUCCCGCAAGAUUUUCUUCCACAUGGAUGCGGCACAGGCAGUUGAAAAAUCCCCCUGGAUGUGAACGACAUGAAGAUUGAUCUGAUGUCUAUUAGUGGUCACAAAAUACAUGAUCCGAAAGGUACAUCCCUUCGUUCUCGUGGUGUGAUUUUACUGAUGUUCGUGCUUGCAGGAUUACUUAAACACUGCGUUGCAACUGAUGACCUUGGUGUUGACCCUGGAACUAAAACAGCUGCAGUAUUGAAGCAGUGAUGGAAUUCAUUCCUGAUUUAUUAAUAAGACUCACCUGAGCUUUUUGCCAAUGCACUGUGGCUAAUCAAGCUCAUAGUAAAACCUGGAAUGGGUGAAGCUGCUAUGCAAUUAGGUGUCUGAUCCCUGUGAGGUGACGGGACUUGCUGGACGGAGGCAGCGCAGUGAGAUGUUGUCUUCAUGUUUGGUACACAA